rnacentral:rRNA from 1 species
CUAAGAAUAUUCCACAAUGGACGGAAGUCUGAUGGAGCGACGCCGCGUGGAUGAGGAAGGCCGAAAGGUUGUAAAAUUCUUUUGCGGAUGAAGAAUAAGCGUGGCAGGGAAUGGCCGCGUGAUGACGUUAGUCCGCGAAUAAGCCCCGGCUAAUUACGUGCCAGCAGCCGCGGUAACACGUAAGGGGCGAGCGUUGUUCGGAAUUAUUGGGCGUAAAGGGCGCGUAGGCGGCCUAGUAAGUCUGAUGUGAAAACCCCGGGCCCAACCCGGGAACUGCAUUGGAAACUGCGAGGCUUGAGUCACGGAGGGGGAAUCGGAAUUCCUGGUGUAGGGGUGAAAUCUGUAGAUAUCAGGAAGAACACCGGUGGCGAAGGCGGGUUUCCAGCCGAUGACUGACGCUGAGGCGCGAAAGUGCGGGGAGCAAACAGGAUUAGAUACCCUGGUAGUCCGCACUAUAAACGAUGCACACCAGGUGUCGGGGCGAGCGUCUCGGUGCCGGAGCGAACGCGAUAAGUGUGCCGCCU